CAAUAGCGUAUAUUUAAGUUGUUGCAGUUAAAAGCUCGUAGUUGGAUUUCGGAUGUGAACGACCGGUCCGCCGUUGCGGUGUGCACUGGACGUUUGUAUCUUGUUGUCGGGGACGCGCUCCUGACCUUAACUGGGAGAGACGCGGAGUCGGCGCUGUUACUUUGAAAAAUUAGAGUGCUCAAAGCAGACGAUUCGUCUGAAUAGCCGUGCAUGGAAUAAUGGAAUAGGACCUCGGUUCUAUUUUGUUGGUUUUCGGAAGUCGAGGUAAUGAUUAAGAGGGACAGACGGGGCAUUCGUACUGGGCCGCCAGAGGUGAAAUUCUUUAACUGGCUCAUGACGAACCACUGCGAAAGCAUUUGCCAAGAAUGUUUUCAUUAAUCAAGAACGAAAGUCAGAGGGUCGAAGACGAUCAGAUACC
rnacentral:rRNA from 1 species